GCAAGUCGAGCGGUAGAGAGGUGCUUGCACCUCUUGAGAGCGGCGGACGGGUGAGUAAAGCCUAGGAAUCUGCCUGGUAGUGGGGGAUAACGCUCGGAAACGGACGCUAAUACCGCAUACGUCCUACGGGAGAAAGCAGGGGACCUUCGGGCCUUGCGCUAUCAAAUGAGCCUAGGUCGGAUUAACUAGUUGGUGAGGUAAUGGCUCACCAAGGCGACGAUCCGUAACUGGUCUGAGAGGAUGAUCAGUCACACUGGAACUGAGACACGGUCCAGACUCCUACGGGAGGCAGCAGUGGGGAAUAUUGGACAAUGGGCGAAAGCCUGAUCCAGCCAUGCCGCGUGUGUGAAGAAGGUCUUCGGAUUGUAAAGCACUUUAAGUUGGGAGGAAGGGCAUUAACCUAAUACGUUAGUGUUUUGACGUUACCGACAGAAUAAGCACCGGCUAACUCUGUGCCAGCAGCCGCGGUAAUACAGAGGGUGCAAGCGUUAAUCGGAAUUACUGGGCGUAAAGCGCGCGUAGGUGGUUCGUUAAGUUGGAUGUGAAAUCCCCGGGCUCAACCUGGGAACUGCAUUCAAAACUGUCGAGCUAGAGUAUGGUAGAGGGUGGUGGAAUUUCCUGUGUAGCGGUGAAAUGCGUAGAUAUAGGAAGGAACACCAGUGGCGAAGGCGACCACCUGGACUGAUACUGACACUGAGGUGCGAAAGCGUGGGGAGCAUACAGGAUUAGAUACCCUGGUAGUCCACGCCGUACACGAUGUCAACUAGCCGUUGGGAGCCUUGAGCUCUUAUUGGCGCAGCUCACGCAUUAAGUUGACCG
rnacentral:rRNA from 1 species